UAGGGAAUCUUCCGCAAUGGACGCAAGUCUGACGGAGCAACGCCGCGUGAGUGAAGAAGGAUUUCGGUUCGUAAAACUCUGUUGUUAGAGAAGAACAGCGCAUAGAGUAACUGUUAUGCGUGUGACGGUAUCUAACCAGAAAGCCACGGCUAACUACGUGCCAGCAGCCGCGGUAAUACGUAGGUGGCCAGCGUUGUCCGGAUUUAUUGGGCGUAAAGCGAGCGCAGGCGGUCAAUUAAGUCUGAUGUGAAAGCCCCCGGCUCAACCGGGGCGGGUCAUUGGAAACUGGUUGACUUGAGUGCAGAAGAGGAGAGUAGAAUUCCAUGUGUAGCGGUGAAAUGCGUAGAUAUAUGGGGGAACCCCGGUGGCGAAAGCGGCUCUCUGGUCUGUAACUGACGCUGAGGCUCGAAAGCGUGGGGAGCGAACAGG
rnacentral:rRNA from 1 species